GAACGAACGCUGGCGGCGUGCCUAACACAUGCAAGUCGAACGAUUUAAAUUUCGUAGCAAUACGGAGUUUAGAUAGUGGCGCACGGGUGAGUAACACGUGAGUGAUCUGCCUCCAAGCUUGGGAUAACCUGCCGAAAGGCGGGCUAAUACCGGAUAAGGCCACAGUACCUUACGGUACAGGGGUUAAAGGUGGCGCAAGCUACCACUUGGAGAUGAGCUCGCGGCCCAUCAGCUAGUUGGUAGGGUAAUGGCCUACCAAGGCUAUGACGGGUAGCUGGUCUGAGAGGACGACCAGUCACACUGGAACUGAGACACGGUCCAGACUCCUACGGGAGGCAGCAGUGGGGAAUAUUGCGCAAUGGGGGAAACCCUGACGCAGCAACGCCGCGUGGGUGAUGAAGGCCUUCGGGUCGUAAAGCCCUGUCAGCAGGGAAGAAACUCCGGGAUUCGAAUAGGGUCUCGGAUUGACGGUACCUGCGGAGGAAGCACCGGCUAACUCCGUGCCAGCAGCCGCGGUAAAACGGAGGGUGCAAGCGUUGUUCGGAAUUACUGGGCGUAAAGCGCGUGCAGGUGGUCUUUCAAGUUUCGUGUGAAAUCCCACGGCUUAACCGUGGAACGGCACGGAAAACUGGAAGACUUGAAUACGGGAGAAGAGGGCGGAAUUCCCAGUGUAGAGGUGAAAUUCGUAGAUAUUGGGAGGAACACCGGUGGCGAAAGCGGCUCUCUAGACCGAUAUUGACGCUCAUACGCGAGAGCGUGGGUAGCAAACAGGAUUAGAUACCCUGGUAGUCCACGCUGUAAACGAUGGAUGCUAGGUGUUGCGGGAGUUGACCCCCGCAGUGCCGAAGCCAACGCAUUAAGCAUCCCGCCUGGGAAGUACGGUCG
rnacentral:rRNA from 1 species